rnacentral:rRNA from 1 species
CCCUUAGAUGUUCUGGGCCGCACGCGCGCUACACUGUUCGACGCAGCGAGUCUUAACCUUGACCGAAAGGUUUGGGUAAUCUUCAGCAAAGUCGGACGUGAUGGGGAUCGAUCAUUGCAAUUAUUGAUCGUGAACGAGGAAUUCCUAGUAAGUGCAAGUCAUCAGCUUGCGCUGAUUACGUCCCUGCCCUUUGUACACACCGCCCGUCGCUACUACCGAUUGAAUGGUUUAGUGAGAUCUCUGGAUUGACGCUGGCUAGGGGGCGACCCUUGGCCAGGCUGUCGAGAAACUGCUCAAACUUGAUCAUUUAGAGGAAGUAAAAGUCGUAACA